UACGUAGGAGGCAAGCGUUGUUCGGAAUUACUGGGCGUAAAGGGCCAGUAGGCGGCCAACUAAGUCGGAUGUGAAAUCCCCAGGCUUAACCUGGGAACUGCAUCCGAUACUGGAUGGCUUGAAUUCGGGGAGAGGGAUGCAGAAUUCCAGGUGUAGCGGUGAAAUGCGUAGAUAUCUGGAGGAACACCGGUGGCGAAGGCGGCUUCCUGGACCGGACACUGACGCUGAGGCGCGAAAGCCAGGGGAGCAAACGG
rnacentral:rRNA from 1 species